UGGGCGACCCCUAACAAUUCCUAGGCACUAGGAAACACUUGUAAUGAUCUGGGAUCCAUGCUAGACUUGCUUGUCAUGAUGGAUUAAGAACACUAUAAAAGGCCCUUGUGUUGCAACAUUAUGUUCACUCAUUCCAUCUGCAUUCUUGGAGCUUCCUGGAGCAUAAGAGCAGACCCUAAGCAUCCCAAAUCGUGCAUAGGACUUCACGGUUGACUUAACGAUUAAUCAUUAAUGGUCCAGUGCUUAGUCGAAUCAAAGGUAGUUAUAAGUUGGUAAUUAUGUGGGCAUUACACCCUCAAAAGGGCACCCUCUGAUUCCCACUCUAACUAGAUCAAAUGUCGGGUCAGUUGUUUAGAAAAAGUCAACAGAAUGCUAAUUUAUGAAUUAACACAUAAUUAACAAUGUAGAAGGCAUGUGACCUAUUUUAUCACUCAUAUAACUUGGUAAUAAGUAUAAGAACUGAUCUAAGCUUGUUUGAUCCGACAAUUUUCUGUUUAGGCCCGGUUCGGAACCGAAAGUCGCAAAACUUUGACUUUUGCUUUGACUUCAGUUCUGACCCGUUUUAGUAGAGUCUAGAAAUGCCUUAGGACUUCCUUAGGACCAGGUUACAUGAUAGUAUAACCCUCUGUGACUGGUUCAUUGAUUGUCCGCUUCGUUUACAAGUUUCCGUUAAUUGCCUAAUGUUUGACCAUAAUGCCCUUUUUACCAUAGAACGAGAAUUUUGGAAAUGUGAAAGGACAAUAAUCUUCGUUACUGAUUAUUAAGCAUGUCCCUAAAGUUUCAUAGCAGUUCGAGGUCCAGAAUAGGAGUUAUGCUAAAUAGUGCAAUUAAGAAACUUUUGUUAAUUAAACGGCGCACUUAGCAUAAAGCCUAUCUAAACCCAACUUUUGGCACCAAACCUUUUACCCACUGAUGUAAUAUAAUAUUUUGAGAUUUUUAAAGAUUUUUAAUUAUUUUUAACCUGCUCAUAACCUAAGGUUAUGGCGUUGAUUUGGUAAAUACCGAUUAUACCCUUUUCGGGCAUAAAAUGAGUUCUACAUAGUAUUUUGACACCAAUCCAAUUGCUACUGAUUUUAUAUAACAAAUAAAGUAUUUUGAAACCUGUAGCUUGAUCAGAAAAAUCAGAUUUCCUGUAUAACCCGGAAAUCGCUUAAAAACGACUUUAUACGCGUAUUAAACGCAUAGUAUGGGUUUGUAACCAUUUUGUCACAUAAGACUUAACACCAACUGAUUUACCCUGUUAAAAUAAGUUAUUUUACUGAUUUAUUCAGACCCGAAUCACAGGAGUUUAAUUAAUCGCUUUUAUAAUCUUUAAAAUGACCAAAAUACCCCUACGGGGCUUAUAUUGAGAUUAAACUCAUUUUGGGCAUAAUGGAAGGUAUCCUACUGAUAUCACAACAUAUUUAGGGCAUAUUAACUUAGGAAACCUGUAAAUGACUCUCAUGGUUACCCGUUACGCUUCCUACGCGUUCGGUUCGGUUUAUGUAACUAGGUUACAUAAAUUAGCCGAAACGGGUCAAACCUUAUCGUUUUUAUCUCAAAAUCCAAGAGGUGUUUAGUUCACCCAUAUUAUACAAGUCUUUGAACUUGUCGGGACUAAAACACUUCCUAUUCCGGUCUUCGCCUAAUCGUGCGUUCGAACCGUAUCUUUCGUUAAAACUAACCGGUCUAUGCUUAGGCUUAAUUAAAGACCCGUUAGGAUUCUAAUAGGUUGUUAUAAACCUUCGUUCCAGAAUAGGAGACCCGGUAAAAGCUACACGCACUUGCUAAUUGUGAUUGAUACUUGCAAAGGUAAAUACUUUUAACUUAAUUUCCCUUUUACGGGCUUGGGGUACGGUAUAUGAAAUACCGCUUGGUCCAGCAUUGAUUCUUUAAUCGAAUAGAGAUUAAAUCAUUGAUAUGCUUCGUUUUGAAAUGUUUUGUUUGCUUAAAGCCUUUGGGGGGUUAAUGACCAUGUCCCGGAUAUCCUUGGCAUCAUCUUACGAGAUGGCCACGACCUGAGCACGGGGUGUAGGCGUACACCCGUCAGUGCAUAAAUGAAUAAAUAAUGUGGUGUGUUUAUUGAUCUUUAACCCGGUCUACGGAUCGGGCUACUGAAUGCAUAAGAAACAUGUAAUUCGUUUACAAGUAUUAUAUUCAAAUAAUUAUCCCAAGUUAUAAAAGUUUGUGCCACGUGCAUUCAAAUCAAUUUUAUUAAACUUUUCAAACUGAGUCGGUUGAAUGUAUUUACCAGUGUAAACUGACGUAUUUUCUCAAAAAGGUUAAGUGCAGGUACUACGCGAACUAGGCUGGCUUUCUCCUAGCAUCCACAAUAAGUCUCGCAAGCUUGGAUGUCAAAACUGUUGAACAAUAUUUCCUAUUUAUUUUGAUCCCCCUGUGGAUUACUUUCAACUGUUGUGAUACUUGAUAUUACAAUUUAUUAAAGUUGAAAUAUAUCUAUCUU
rnacentral:lncRNA from 1 species